GCCGGCGUGGUGAAAUUGGUAGACACGAUAGACUCAAAAUCUAUUGAGCGCAAGCUUGUAUCGGUUCAAGUCCGAUCGCCGGUA
rnacentral:tRNA from 5 species